CAGUAGCCACGGGAAUACAGAGGGUGCGAGCGUUAAUCGGAUUUACUGGGCGUAAAGCGUGCGUAGGCGGCUUUUUAAGUCGGAUGUGAAAUCCCUGAGCUUAACUUAGGAAUUGCAUUCGAUACUGGGAAGCUAGAGUAUGGGAGAGGAUGGUAGAAUUCCAGGUGUAGCGGUGAAAUACGUAGAGAUCUGGAGGAAUACCGAUGGCGAAGGCAGCCAUCUGGCCUAAUACUGACGCUGAGGUACGAAAGCAUGGGGAGCAAACAGGAUUAGAUACCCCGGUAGUCCCUGUCUCUUAUAC
rnacentral:rRNA from 1 species